GACGAACGCUGGCGGCGUGCCUAAUACAUGCAAGUAGAACGCUGAAGGAGGAGCUUGCUCUUCUGGAUGAGUUGCGAACGGGUGAGUAACGCGUAGGUAACCUGCCUGGUAGCGGGGGAUAACUAUUGGAAACGAUAGCUAAUACCGCAUAAGAGUAGAUGUUGCAUGACAUUUGCUUAAAAGGUGCAAUUGCAUCACUACCAGAUGGACCUGCGUUGUAUUAGCUAGUUGGUGGGGUAACGGCUCACCAAGGCGACGAUACAUAGCCGACCUGAGAGGGGGAUCGGCCACACUGGGACCGAGACACGGCCCAGACUCCUACGGGAGGCAGCAGUAGGGAAUCUUCGGCAAUGGACGGAAGUCUGACCGAGCAACGCCGCGUGAGUGAAGAAGGUUUUCGGAUCGUAAAGCUCUGUUGUAAGAGAAGAACGAGUGUGAGAGUGGAAAGUUCACACUGUGACGGUAUCUUACCAGAAAGGGACGGCUAACUACGUG
rnacentral:rRNA from 1 species